GCGAGCCUGGAAAUGGUGAGUUCAGGGGCAAGCUGGAAAGUGGAUCCACCGGGAACCCCGGGCACUGUUGUGCUGUGACAUAUCGCUACAUCCAAGCCGUCUUCUCUCUCGCACCCCCGCCCACCCCCACUUCUUCCUUCUCUCUCACUCCACAAUCUCCGAAUGCCCUAACACAGGUGAAUGAAGGGAUGGGGUGGGGGGAGAUUUGAGAUAUUGAGGCCGAGGUAAGAAAGCCUAUUUAAUCUGAGUCUGAAUAUCUGGGUAGGUGAAAUCUGUGCAAAAUGAACAUCAAGGUCCUCAAUUUUAACCAAAGGAGCCCAGAGUGCCCUUUGCACGAGGAACAGGAUGACUCUUUUGCCAAGGAGAAAAAAAGCCACGGAGGGAAGACAUUAUCACAAAAGGGCUAACGGAGAUGGGGGAGGAGGGGACAGGACGAGGCCCUAGUGUAGUUGCCAGGCAACCAGCCCCAGCCUCCUGUUGCCUUGGUUACAGUGAGUGGAGGGGUUUGGGUCACUGAUUAUCCUUGAGCACCUGGAUUCUUUAAAUUAUCUGCUGGAGAGCCCCUGCCUUCUCCGUGCUGGAUGGGAGACACAACCAAUCCUUGACAAGUAAAAACUCUGGAUGGAUGGAGAUGAUGGCCCUCCAAUUCAGUGUAAGAGCAGACACAUCACUUCCCAGGAAGGCCUGUGGCAGGUAGGUGAUGGUGAUCCCUGGAAAUGGAGAUCAUUCCAGCCCCUUGUGGCACUGGAGUUGGGCAGGUCUGUGUUUUUCUUUCUCCCUGCACCAAAUAGUCCUAUUUAAGUAUUCUGCCAUUAGCCUACACUUCUGCAAAAGAAAGGGGCAUUAAAAUUCCAUCCUUUCCAAGACAGAAACUCUGAUGGCAGUUUGGAAGAAGGUUUAAUGUGAGUACCGAUCCCCCUGGUCAGUCUUUUCUCGGUUCUUGGCUGGAGGGAAUGUUUGGAAUGGAUAAAUGCUUGACCGUGAUAGUGCUCUCAAGGGCCACCUCCUUUAGUGGCCCCAUCUAUGCCAGAGUUUCAGUAGCAUCAUGAGCCCCAGCACUAGACUAUAAGCCCUUCAAUAUUAGGGGCUAUGUCUUGUAUACCUUUGUUUCCCUGGAACUUUGUCAUGCUUAAAAUAGGGUCUCAACAAUGUUUGAACUGAAUCCUACAGGCUAGUGUCAAGACAAGUCCCUUAACUUCCUCUUUAUGACAAGGGCAGUUCUAGCUCUGGACCCUCCCCCAACUGUCCUUUCCAAAAGCUUCUAUUCCCUAGCUCUCUUCACAAAAGAUACAUGAAGGCUCAGCUCAUCGUUACCAUGGUUACAUGGAGUGGCCACACGGAGGAUCCCUAUCACCCAUUGCUGUCAGGAGGAAAGAGAGAGGAGGGGUUUGGGGAUCAUUGUCACGGAGGAAACCAUGGAAACAAGCGUUGCCAAGGCAAUGACUCUAAAUUCAGAGGAAAGAAACUAGAAGUGGGGAGAGGGAGAUGGGGGGCUCAAGGGCAGGUCAUGGUUUCAAGGUACAUUUCUCUUAGACUGUAACAGCGUCCUUUGCUACUUGCAUCUUUUUUUAAAUAAAGUAUUUUUCAUUUUAUUUUUUUAAAGUAACCUCUAUGCCCAGUGUGGGGCCUGAACUCAUGACCCCGAGAUCAAGAGUUGCAUGCUCCACGAUUGAGCCAGCCAGCCACCCCUCUAUUUACAUCUUCACCCAACCCAGAAAGAGCCCAGAGUUAAAGAAUUUAGGAAAACUGGGCUUCAAGUCCAUUUUCAUUGGUUCUGCAAGGAAAAAGCCAAUGAAAAUGAGUCUAUUCACACUCAUGAUCAACUCUGUCUCUGAAUUUUGCCUCUUUGCUAGCCAGUUGCAUGAGCCAGACUGUGUGGUAGGCACUGGAAUAUAAUAAUGAGCAAAAGCCCCUGUUCUCAUGUUGAGCUGAUCACAGGACAGCCACUUGGUGGCUUUAGGUCAGGGUUGCUCACAGGGCUAGACUGGACAGUCCUGAAUGUCAAUGUCCAGGGAUCUGCUAGCAUUCUCUCCAAGCUCUCUCUGUAACAUCUUUUAGCUUAUCUAUUACCACCAGAAGUUUACCUGGGAACUCCCUGAGAAAGGCCUGUUUUUCCUAGGAGUACCCCUUCAGUUAACAUCUUGCAUGUUACUUAGCCUUGUUCUCUAAUAUUAGCACUCAGAUCUUUGUCUCUGAAACUAUACUAAGGAUGAUGUACCAAACCUCUUUCAACAGUACCAAAGAGACAUGAGGCCAUUAUUAAGAGAUUAAUGACAACAAAUCCCUUUCUCUUCCUUGAUGGGUUAGAUGCUGGGGGUGGGGUUCCUCAGCCCCUUGUAGCUUAGAGUCCCAGAGCAAGCACCCCACUGGAGAAUGGAGAAAAGGGGGUCUCAACAGCCUCCUGGGGAGGGCUAUCUCUCCCCUGCACCCUCCACAGAAGAGCUUGGGGUUUUCUCAGGCUCACCUGUCUAGGGCUAACAGUUGGAAGGCCUUGGGCCUCGGAGCUGGGCACUGCCAGUCUUCUCCAUGUCCCCCCUCUGUGUCUCCAAGCAGGUCCCGCCCCGUUCCGGAUGGAGAGAAUGGAGAGAACAAACUGAAGGUUGGAGAGCUGGGCUACAGAGGAAGACGUCUCAAUUAGAAAGAGAAAGAAUUGAAAGCAGCACCAAGAGGGAAGGGUAAUUAUCCCCCAGCUGCAGCAGAAAUAAAAUCAGGGCGGUGCUCUCUGAGCCACCAGGAUAUUGUGGUUUUUGCCAAUUAAAAAGCAGAUACGCCC